rnacentral:lncRNA from 1 species
ACGAGCUAAUGGGUUUACUGCGCAACGGCAUUUUUGAACUUCUACGGUUUACCUUAGCUAGCCGAGAAUCGACUGUGCAUCUUCCUCAUUCUGUUCCCAGCCUCGACUCGACAACCACCUCAAAAAUGGAAAAAUUUUACACGGCUUCUAGUUCUAGACCGCUUGUAUUCUACAGUCCACGUAGAGUAAGCGACGUUGAACUUGGUUUAGAUUUUUACCCAGAAACCCAAAGGACAUUUUUAUUAAGACUUAGAGAUGUUGUACACUAUUCCUUUCAAAGGCUUGCGGCAUUUAUUCUAUGAUGUUUCUGUUUAAACAUAAGAUACCUCAAUGAAUUGAAUCAUGUAAUAUUUGAUAGCUGAUUACUUGGUUCACUGGAUACUUCAAACUGCAGCUAAUCAGGUCUGUUGCUGAACAAAACUGUUGAGAGUUUAUGCUGCAGAGAAUGCAGACAUCCUGUAAAAACACUAGUCAAGGUAAAUUCUACCUCUAUAUGUAUUUUGCUUCUGUAAAUUUUUAUUGCACUUGUUUGUUUGUAACUUUAUUCUUAAAUGGUGCUAGAGCCAUUAUUAUGAUGUAUUUUAUCUUAGGACACCUUCAGAAAACAGAUUGACACUGUUUUAUGAGAAUAUAUAGUUAAACUCUGAAUAAAUUAAUUUAAAAAUAAAAAUUUAUAUACUU